UCAUUAUUCUGUUAUUUUGUCGAGAAAAAUAAAUAAAAGCAUAUAAAGAGACUUGUGAAAAUUGUAUGAAUUCUUUCUAUUUGAGAAAAAUAUGGCGGAGGGAGAUUAUCGAUGUUUGGGAUAUAUCGAAGAGAUAACUUCUCAUUAAUGGUUUAGUGUGCAAUUUGCUGUGGUGUCGAAGAAUUUUAGUGAUUUCCUGUGUGAUAUACGUACAUCGUUUAACUGAAAUUUUGCUACGAAUGUAUCUUCAGCAUGAGUCAGCAACGUCAGUAAUAUUAGUGGCAGAAAGAUGUUCCUGAUUAUUCUGCGAUAGGUGAGUCGUAAAUUUUCUGCGCCAAGAAAUUAUGGCUCGAUAAAGUUGGCCAUGAGACUGAAUAAUUGUAUAAUGCUUUCUAAACGAAAUAUCUGUGAG